rnacentral:rRNA from 1 species
UGGGGAAUUUUGGACAAUUGGGCGAAAGCCUGAUCCAGCAAUGCCGCGUGUGUGAAGAAGGCCUUCGGGUUGUAAAGCACUUUUGUCCGGAAAGAAAUCCUUGGCUCUAAUACAGUCGGGGGAUGACGGUACCGGAAGAAUAAGCACCGGCUAACUACGUGCCAGCAGCCGCGGUAAUACGUAGGGUGCAAGCGUUAAUCGGAAUUACUGGGCGUAAAGCGUGCGCAGGCGGUUUGCUAAGACCGAUGUGAAAUCCCCGGGCUCAACCUGGGAACUGCAUUGGUGACUGGCAGGCUAGAGUAUGGCAGAGGGGGGUAGAAUUCCACGUGUAGCAGUGAAAUGCGUAGAGAUGUGGAGGAAUACCGAUGGCGAAGGCAGCCCCCCUGGGCCAAUACUGACGCUCAUGCACGAAAGGCGUGGGGAGCAAAGCAGGAUUAGAUACCCCUGGUAGUCCACGCCCUAAACGAUGUCAACUAGUUGUUGGGGAUUCAUUU